CAGUCGAGCGGUAUAUACUUAAAUGAAACUUCGGUCGAGUGAUGGUAUAGAGAGCGGCGGACGGGUGAGUAACGCGUAGGCAACCUGCCCCAUACAGAGGGAUAGCCUCGGGAAACCGGGAUUAAAACCUCAUAACGCCAAAGAUUCACAUGGAUCUUUGGCCAAAGAUUUAUCGGUAUGGGAUGGGCCUGCGUCUGAUUAGCUAGUUGGUGGGGUAACGGCCUACCAAGGCAACGAUCAGUAGCCGACCUGAGAGGACGACCAGCCACACUGGGACUGAGACACGGCCCAGACUCCUACGGGAGGCAGCAGUGGGGAAUUUUGGACAAUGGGCGAAAGCCUGAUCCAGCAAUGCCGCGUGUGCGAAGAAGGCCUUCGGGUUGUAAAGCACUUUUGUCAGGGAAGAAAUCGUUUGGGCUAAUACCCCGAGCAGUUGACGGUACCUGAAGAAUAAGCACCGGCUAACUACGUGCCAGCAGCCGCGGUAAUACGUAGGGUGCAAGCGUUAAUCGGAAUUACUGGGCGUAAAGCGUGCGCAGGUGGUUUGUUAAGACAGUUGUGAAAUCCCCGGGCUUAACCUGGGAACUGCAAUUGUGACUGGCAGACUAGAGUGAGGCAGAGGGGGGCGGAAUUCCUGGUGUAGCAGUGAAAUGCGUAGAUAUCAGGAGGAACACCGAUGGCGAAGGCAGCCCCCUGGGCCAUCACUGACACUCAUGCACGAAAGCGUGGGGAGCAAACAGGAUUAGAUACCCUGGUAGUCCACGCCCUAAACGAUGUCUAUUAGUUGUUGGGUCUUCAUUGACUUAGUAACGAAGCUAACGCGUGAAAUAGACCGCCUGGGGAGUACGGCCGCAAGGUUAAAACUCAAAGGAAUUGACGGGGACCCGCACAAGCGGUGGAUGAUGUGGAUUAAUUCGAUGCAACGCGAAAAACCUUACCUACCCUUGACAUGCUAGGAAGUCC
rnacentral:rRNA from 1 species